CAGUGAUGCCAUCCAAUCAUCUCAUCCCUUCUCCUCCUGCCCUCCUGUGAAUAUGGGUGCGGCCCCAAAGGCAGAAGCCUCCUGGAACCUUCUCAUCUGAGCUGCCUCCAAAUUGGCCCCACCGCGUCCUUUCCCCUCCCCAACCUGACUCAGAUGUUAGAAGACGUGUGUUUGUGCCUCAUUACAAAGAUGGAUUUUUUCAUUCAGC